rnacentral:misc_RNA from 1 species
GGAAGUAAAAUCGUAACAAGGUCUCCGUAGGUGAACCUGCGGAGGGAUCAUUACGGAGUUCAUGCCCUACCGGGUAGAUCUCCCACCCUAUGUUAUUAUUACUUUGUUGCUUUGGCGGGCCGUUAGGCUCCGGCCCGACUACCGGCCCCGGCUGGUAAGCGCCCGCCAGAGGACCCAAAACCCUGAAUAUUAGUGUCGUCUGAGUACUAUAUAAUAGUUAAAACUUUCAACAACGGAUCUCUUGGUUCUG